AUGGCCUUGAGAUAAUGCAUGCUGCUUUAUUCAUAGAGAGACGGUGCCGUUGAUUUUAUUCAUAGGAAACUGAACCAAAACAGUGGUUGCUACUAGUGUUUGGAAAUUAUAAUUACUAGAACUCUUAUUUCUCACCCUUUUAAUUGCUGGCUAAUUCUUGUAAAAAGUAGUGGUUAAUCUUGCUAAUUACUUUGAUGUGAUGCCUAGGUGGUCACUCCAGCUCCUGCAACCAACACAGGUCGUUGCCCCCUUUGCCACAACGGCAGGAGCACAAAUACGAGUGUGGUCGUCCUCAACCAGUUCCUUCACGCGGCCUUCACGCAACCCCUGCUCAUGUAUGCUUACACCAAAAGUACAACUCUUGUUACUCUCCUCGUACUUGCUCUUGCUUAUUUUCUAAGCAAUAAUUCCUAUUGCUUCCUCUUGGGGAAAGGGAUCCCAUGUUGAAGCCUUGGUGCUCACCCGCUGUUUAUAUUCAUCACCAUAGUGUACGAAACAUAUGAAAACCAUUCUGGCUUCGGGAGAAAAUAUAACCAGUACAUGUGCAAUUGCGUGAGAAGUUCCCUUAUGAAAGUUCCUUGUAAACAAACCACAUGAAAGUUCGUCAAGAAAAACUUUGUAAGUUCAAAAUGGCUAUAGGAAAACUUUGUAGGUUCAGAUGGGUAUAGAAAACUUUGUAAGUUCAAAAUGGGCACGCCUAAUAGUGCGUGAAUAAAAUUUUUAAACCCAACAAAGUCCAUGUUGGUCGGUCUACAGUGUGUUGUCAAGAAGGUUGUUGGCCUUGGAGGCCGACACUAGCUGAUCAUCUACCUUCCAAUUAUAUUAGGCAUAUACCACUGAAACUGCAGGUCGCGCCCUCCUCCCACCGUAGGUGGUGCCCUCCUCCCGCAUAGCCUAUUGGUUGGUGUACCGUGACCCCUCCUCAUAUUUUUGGUAUGAAUUUGAUGAAUCUUCUUGAUGCUCUGUUCUUAUUCAUCUAGAGAUUCCUCCUCAUAUUGAUUGUUUGUAUUGCUCUGUUCUUGUCAUUUUGUAAAUUAGAAAACAGUAGUCAGUAUUUUUUUAUAAAAAAGUUUACCGCAUAAAAAAUGCAACAGUAGUUCAACACAAUAUCAAGGAGGGUGUGAGUUGGGUAUGGUUACAGACGAAAGAUAUGUGUUGAAAAGUUCACUUCGUCUACAUACGUAAGUUCAAAAAAUUGUCAUAGAGCUAGUUUAAAAAAUUGUCAAAAGGCAAAAUGGUUGUGCUAGUUCAAUUUUUUCAGUCCAUCUUCUGUAUGCUAUUCAGUACAUCUAAUUCCAAAUCGUAAGUACAAUUGCCUUUAUGUUUUCCAUCUUCAUAUAACACAAAAUAGGCACUGGAGGAUAAGGUGAGAAUAUAUACUAAUGAAAUGCUUGGUGGCGUUGUCCAUGUUUUGAAUUUAAACCACUAGCUUUUUUAUACACGAGCGCCUGUCCUGGGAGAGCCCUAUAUUGCCAUGAGCACUACUGCUACAAACUUUAAUCCCCCAUUGUCCGGCCCUAUAUUUUAUCCUCGGUUCUUAGAAAAGCAUGGAAACAAUUCUCUGUGUGUUAGAGUAUCAGUUCAUGUGGAGAAGAACAUGUUUCCUAUAUGAAAAAAAUAAUAUAUUAUUAUCAGUUCAAUAUGUAUUUUGUCAUUAGUUCAUACAGAACAACCGUAAAAAAUAUUUUGAUGUGUGUUAGAGAGAGAUCAACUUUAUAUUAUAUGGUAGCUCACUCAUUGCAUGAUUGCACAGCAGUUUGGCAUCAAAAUUCACAUCAGUUUAGGGGUGCCCGCAUCACGGUCUCACCGUGCUACCGCAAUCUCUCCUUGAUACGCCACCGGACGAGCCCCUCCUCACACUUUGGCAAGCUGUCACUUGCUCCUGUGCCUGGAUCCCAUGUGAGCGCUGAUGGUAGUCCUCUGUGUGCGUCAAUGGCACUUUCUCACAGCAAUCUCCCUCUCUUUCUUUGCUCCUGCUAUUAAAAUGCAUAGAUGUGGUAUUCUGCUAACUGAGUAGUUGGGAAGAUGUGAAAAGAACAUGCUCUUUAGGUGUUUGUGACUAUUCCUGUGAGCACCAAUGAAUUUAAAUUUUUAUUUUGUGCUUCCGUGUAUGUUUUUGGGCAGCACAAGUACAUCGUCAUAGUAAGUACAAAUGCGGUCUUAUGGAACUCUGAUAGUUGUUGGAUGCUAUUCCAAAUGCCAAUCAUGCAAAACGGUUGUUGCUAGAAUCUAGAUGAUAUUUAAUGUAGAUACCAUAGUUUCACCGUAUUUUUUGGUUCUAAAUAUUUCUGCAUACCUCUUUAAAAGAAUGUUCCGUUUGUGAUCAUUUCUUGUAGGUAUUCAUGUGGACUUUAAAUAAUGACUAUUCUUGUAUGAGGUUUGAAGAUUAUCGUGGAGCAAGUUCAAGAGAUUAGUUUCGUGAAAAUAAAUGUGAUCUUUUGGUCAGGAUUUUGCAUGAUCCAUAGCCAUCGAUGGCAACAGGAGGCGUCCUGCGUGAGUCGUCCAUCGUCUUCUAUGCGUGAGCUUGUUGUCUCUACACAUCUAGCAUCAGAGUAUCGCCUCCCCUUGCCACACACACAUGCGGUGUGGUCGAGCUAGUGUUGUUUGUGAUACUGCUCGUGACUCUUGCGUCGUCAUUGGACAAAGAAUUUGUUCUGUGACUAUGUAUUUGCAGGACCUUUAGCAAAUAUUGUUGUGUUCUGAGUAUUCUGAUGUGGGCCAAAUGGUGAGCAUUUAAACAUCAGUCUGAAUUAACAAAACUGAUAAGUUCUACUUUCAAUAAACUGAUGAACCUAGAUGCAACAAAGCUCUGCCAUUAGCCGUGGGGAUUAUCAGUUCAUGUGUAUUGUGUUCUUUUUGUCGGUUAAUGUAUUUCUUGUUUGUCAGGUCAUGUGCAAGUUUGUUAUCAGUUCAUGUGUAUGUGUAUUGGUGAUCUAUGCUAUUGCUGCUAGCUAUCGAUCAGACUGGUAUUACUUUGGCAGCUCCAUGUAAUUAGCCCCUUUGUUGGGUGAAUCUCCUACUACUUGCUAGCUUUGGAAUUGUAAAAACACAAUAAGUUCACAAUUUAAAAAGGUGUAAGUUCAACACGACGUCCUAGAUAAGUUUUAGGAAAAAGUUGAAACACAAAGAAAACCCAAAGAAAUUCAAAUGGUAACGUUCAAGUCGUGGGAUGAAAGAAGUCCAGAACAACGUUGAAAAUGUUAAGAGUUG
rnacentral:lncRNA from 1 species